UACGAAGGGGGCUAGCGUUGCUCGGAAUCACUGGGCGUAAAGCGCACGUAGGCGGAUUGCUAAGUCAGGGGUGAAAUCCUGGAGCUCAACUCCAGAACUGCCCUUGAUACUGGCGGUCUCGAGUCCGGGAGAGGUGAGUGGAACUGCGAGUGUAGAGGUGAAAUUCGUAGAUAUUCGGAAGAACACCAGUGGCGAAGGCGGCUCACUGGCCCGGUACUGACGCUGAGGUGGCGAAAGCGUGGGGAGCAAACACGG
rnacentral:rRNA from 1 species